ensembl:lncRNA
UCAGGGAAACGUUCUUAAAAGCUGCAAGGGAAAUUUUCGUUAUUGUGCUAGCUUAUUUCUACGUAGAUAUUUGUGUAUGCCUACGUACAGGGGUGUAGGGGAACUGCUGGGUCCUUGCACUGGUGAUUGAGCACCUGUGAAGGGGCGUAUCUGGCCCAGGGAGCACAGGCACAUUGCUUGCACCUGUGUGACCACAAGGGGUGGACCCAAGGUGCAGCCCCCCAUGGGCUCUUAUGAAAGCCAGCCUCGAACAGCAGAGUUUCUUUUGCACCUUGGCUGCUUGCUGCAGGGUUGUGCUGUGUGACCAGAGGGCCCUUUCACCGCUUGGGUGAGUUCUGUUCUUUCUGUAAACGGCCUGUGUUUCUGUUAGCCUUCCUGUGAAUGCAUUGCCUGGUACCAUCAAGAACUUGUUGGAAGAAGUUUUGCUUCUUCAUAAGCAGAACAGAGAGUAUUUAAUCAACGCUACAGAAAGUCAGAGCUGUAGUUUUUCAGCAUACUUAAAAUAAAAGCAGGAAAAACCCCAAGAUAACCAAGGUACAAAUGCAGAGAAGGUCUGCUAACUCCUGUGCUCUGAUUUAAAGAGCAGUAUUCCAACAAGAGUCUACAAACAAUCCUUACCUGGGCUAGUGUUGUGAUGUAGGGCUGCGUCUGGCCUCCCAGAAAACCUGAAGCAGUGCAUGGAGUAGCAUCUAAUUACAUUAGCAGUUACAAACUAUGUUAACACACUUAACUGCUUUAUUCAGUUGUAAGCGUUUAAUCGUUCCUGUUUAAUUUCUAAUUAUCUCUUGGCUUUCUGUUAUUUUUAGAAUGUUUGCUGAAGAAUGUCCUGUGUGUUCUUGAGAGUGACUCUGAAGGAAGUGAAUUCUCUGAUAUCUCUGCGUGUGAAGAUGAUGUCAGUCUGCCUGCAAACGCUGACAUAGAAGACUUGUGUGGUGAGCUCUCUCGUAUGCCUGAGGAUGCAACCUUCCCUCGGCAACCAGCUGCUUUGACAUACGAGGUGGAGGACUGGGAUAAAGAGUUGGAGGAGUCUGAAUGUAGUCCUUAUGAUGCUGGUGAUCUCUGCUGCGGAAGCUUUCAGGAAAAUAAUUUUUUGGCCUCGUACUCAUUUCGAGAGGAUUCAUUGUACAACCCGUGCUGUCACCAUGCAGCUUGCCUUACUUUUACACUGCCAGUUAGAAUGACUGAGGUUGGCCAGUUUGAUGAUGCUGAUGAAUGAGGUCAGAAGUAAGUUUGGUUUCUGAGUUGGAUUGUUCUUCACUGGCUGAGUUGCAGGUGCUAGCUGUAAGCUGCUAGUGCACUUCUGGACUAUUUUCUGUUUGUGUUACAUAGAUCUGUGUUGCUAAGUCAUUGGGACGAAGUAUGUAAUUUCUAAUCUUACCUUGAUUGCAAAGUGUUGCCAAUUUUGGCAUGCCUGGUACUUGCAUGUCUGGACACUUAACCUAUAAUUUUAUUUCGUUUGUUAUGGAAUUGGUCUUAAAAACUCUUCCAACUUCUCUGUUGUACUUCUGUGUUGCAGUUUGUGACUCCACAUUAGUCGUGACAAAUUAGAUGUGACAUUACAAAAUGAUUCUUUUGGUUUGAUGUGUUUCAAUACAAAGGAAUUUGCAAAAUGUCUGUGAUGUAUGUAAUGCACCUGUAGGCAUAUAUUUGGGAUUUUGUUUCCUACAGAAAUGCUGGGUGUUUGUCAGCCUCCCAGGAAAGGUUUCUGCACAUCAGACCUUGUACUCAGGUGUAUUGUCUUCUAUCUCACAGUAGUCUGAUGUUGUGUGAGGAUGUUUUAAAGACAUGUAAUGACAAAGAAAAUAUGCUUAUGUGAUCUCAGUGUGUCCUGCAAACAGUAGUGAAUUGAUAUUACUGCUACUUUGUUAUUUCUGUGUUGACAAAUGAGGAAAUGGGAACACAAAAUAUUUCCAUAAAGUUUCCAAGAGAAUAGCUGGAACUGAAACUAUAUUCUUUUUGCCUGUGCUUUGGAAUUAAAGGAAAUGUUCUCAAAUGAAGAAUGGAAGUGGAUUGAAUGACUGACUACUUACAAAAACAAUUUCUUGUUGCUCAUAUUUCUUUAAUCACUUCUCAAGAACGUUUUGAUGACUUUUUUGACACUGCCC